CUUCUUCCACUCACCCUACAUUUCGGCAGCCCAUUCUCUACCCUUCUAACUUCCAUCCAGCCCACCAGCCCAGAGAGGAAAGAGUUCUAUUAAUUUGGGCGUGAAAUUGGUAAAAAGACAAAGCAAAAAAAAUAAAAGGGCGUUACUGUCCUCCACGUUGUCUUAGAUGGGAGCCGAUUGGGCACUGGGAUUACAUAACCGUGGUCAGUCCCUUCUGGGGUUCACAGACUGCUGGUGGAAUGGACCCGUGAAAGACAAACACGAGACUGGGAGAGAGCCGUGCAGAGGUAAAGGAAACAGGAAUGAAAGCCCUCAGUUUUGUGUCAUCUAUUCACCAAAAAUGAAGUCCGAUACCUACCAAAGACUGUAGAACCAAAUGCCAAAGUCUUUUAAAGCCAUUUGAACUUCCACUGGAAUAAUCAGCCUCUGUGUUCUUGGCGAGUCUGAAAAACAGAUCCUGCCUUCCGAAACCAUGAAUCCAACACCUGGGAAGACAGCUGAAAGUUUCUCAUAUAGCAGCAGUCGGCUGGUGGCUACGUCUGGCACAUCCAAAAUGGUUUUACUCACAUGUCUAGUACUUCAGCAGGGAUGACUGGAAGCCUGGAUCCAGC